AUUGAACGCUGGCGGAAUGCUUUACACAUGCAAGUCGAACGGCAGCACGGACUUCGGUCUGGUGGCGAGUGGCGAACGGGUGAGUAAUGUAUCGGAACGUGCCCAGUCGUGGGGGAUAACGUAGUGAAAAUUACGCUAAUACCGCAUACGAUCUAUGGAUGAAAGCGGGGGAUCGCAAGACCUCGCGCGAUUGGAGCGGCCGAUAUCAGAUUAGGUAGUUGGUGGGGUAAAGGCCCACCAAGCCAACGAUCUGUAGCUGGUCUGAGAGGACGACCAACAGCACUGGAACUGAGACACGGUCCAGACUCCUACGGUAGGCAGGAGUGGGGAAUUUUGGACAAUGGGCGAAAGCCUGAUCCAGCCAUUCCGCGUGCAGGAUGAAGGCCCUCGGGUUGUAAACUGCUUUUGUACAGAACGAAAAGGUUUCUACUAAUACUAGGAGCUCAUGACGGUACUGUAAGAAUAAGCACCGGCUAACUACGUGCCAGCCGCCGCCGUAA
rnacentral:rRNA from 1 species